rnacentral:lncRNA from 1 species
AAUCUCCGGGAACGCACAUCUCUUUUUGGAGGCCCGGAGCGCGGCCGGCGUCGUCGCGUCACCCAAGCUUGCAGUGUUCCCGACGUUCCAGGCCGAGAUACAGGAUGUAACACCGUCAAGAAUCAGCCCAAGCCGAGCUCCAGGCGUGGAGAACGCUCGCCUUCUUUCCUCAGCCCCGAUCUAGACCCGUUGGCUUUGUUCCUUCCUGUCCGAUCUAGUCGUUCUCGGGUCGUCAUCCUGUUCGUUGUGUUGCCGGGCAUCUCCCACGCUGUCGCUGCUUCCUGGACCUCUCCGACCCCUUUCAGCUGCACGGUGAGACACUGCAUACCCCUGAACACCCCAUGCAUGCACCCAUAUCGCCCAUUCCGAGCUGUAGCUCGACAUGCAUGCACAUCCCAAGAACCACCGCCGCUGUAGCUUGUUUUUC